ACACACACACACACACACACACACACACACACACACACACACACACACACACACACACACACACACACACACACACACACAUCUGUUAUUCCCCCCCUUCCCUCUGACAGUCUCCCUCUUGCAACAGUCCGCUCCCAAUUUAGUCCCCGCUGCUCCCAGGGACUGGAGCACAGUUGGAUCAUGCUCAGGAGGUGACACGAGCAGCCCCAGUAAAACCGUCUCUCUCUCAGCCUGCUCCGUCCACUCCUCUCCCUCUCUCCAGCCCAGCCUCUCCUCUCUUCAGCCUCAGAGCCAUGGAGUCUUCCCAUGAGGUCCCCUUCAUGGAUGGUCUCACUAUGAAGGACAUAGCCCCAGCCUCGGCCCCAGAUGCCAAUGUCUACACCAAGUUCAUGAGGAACCACUGCUGCUAUGACGCCAUUCCAACCAGCUCCAAACUGGUCAUCUUCGACACCACCUUGCAGGUAAAAAAAGCUUUCUUUGCUCUGGUGGCGAACGGUGUUCGGGCGGCGCCGCUGUGGGAUAACAAGCUGCAGUGUUUUGUAGGUAUGCUGACCAUCACAGACUUUAUCAACAUUCUCCACCGGUAUUGGCAGUCUCCUCUGGUAGAGAUCUACGAACUGGAGGAGCACAAGAUAGAAGACUGUAGAGAAGAAUUGCUGAAGUACUCCAACCAUACUCUGAUCAGUAUCACACCUGACUCCAGCCUUUUUGAUGCCAUCUAUUCUCUGCUGAAGUAUAAGAUCCAUCGGCUGCCUGUGAUCGACCCAGAAUCUGGCAACGUCCUGCACAUCCUCACCCACAAACGCAUCCUCAAGUUCCUGCAUAUCUUUGGCACCAUGAUCCCGAAGCCUCGGUACCUCCAGAAGAGAAUUGAGGAGGUGGACAUUGGAACAUUUAAACAGAUUGCUACUGUCCGGGAGACAGACACGGUGUACGACGCCCUGGCCAUCUUCGUACAGCGGAGGGUCUCCGCUCUGCCAGUGGUCAAUGAGGAGGGGAAAAUCAAGGCCCUGUACUCCAGGUUUGAUGUGAUUAAUCUGGCCGCUCAGAAGAACUACAAUAACCUGAACAUGACCAUGCAGGAGGCGAUCAGUAGCAGGGCCUGCUGUGUGGACGGGGUGCUGAAGUGUUACCCUCACGAGACUCUGGAGACUAUCAUCGAUCGUAUUGCUAAGGCAGAGGUCCACCGUCUCGUGCUGGUGGAUAAAGAUGACGUGGUGGGGGGGAUCGUCUCGCUCUCUGACCUCCUCCAGGCCCUGGUCUUGACCCCGGCAGGUAUUGAUGCCCUUUUCUCUUAGCACCUGACUGUGGGUUGGGGGGUCCAUCUAUCACUACCCACCACCUCCCAGCCCCUCCCCAGCCCCAACCCCAGAGAUUUCACGAAGAGCUCAAACUCUGAUCACUGAAGACACAUUGGGACACUAAUAAUGAAUGAAGACAGAAACUCUGUAAAUAUUUUUUGGAUUUUGCUCGGUAACUUUAAAAUGCUUUUUAAAAGGUUUAUUAUUUUCUGCACCAAUACUUAAUAUAAUAAUAAUAAUAAUGAUAAUACUUUCAUAUUUUUAUAUUCUUGUUUUUACUUGUGUUUGUUUCUAUACAUUUUACUUGUUUGUAUAAAUUCAACCAAAAAAAUGUACAUUUUAUAAAAUCUCUCCUAACCCGUUCAAAACUAUUAUUUAUUUAUAUAUAUAUACAGUACCAGUCAAUAGUUUGGACA